GAGUUUGUCGUGGCUCAGGACGAACGCUGGCGGCGCGCCUAACACAUGCAAGUCGAACGAGCGAGAGAGAGCUUGCUUUCUCGAGCGAGUGGCGAACGGGUGAGUAACACGUGGGUAACCUGCCCAAGAGACUGGGAUAACACCUGGAAACAGAUGCUAAUACCGGAUAACAACACUAGACGCAUGUCUAGAGUUUGAAAGAUGGUUCUGCUAUCACUCUUGGAUGGACCUGCGGUGCAUUAGCUAGUUGGUAAGGUAACGGCUUACCAAGGCAAUGAUGCAUAGCCGAGUUGAGAGACUGAUCGGCCACAUUGGGACUGAGACACGGCCCAAACUCCUACGGGAGGCAGCAGUAGGGAAUCUUCCACAAUGGACGAAAGUCUGAUGGAGCAACGCCGCGUGAGUGAAGAAGGGUUUCGGCUCGUAAAGCUCUGUUGGUAGUGAAGAAAGAUAGAGGUAGUAACUGGCC
rnacentral:rRNA from 1 species